GACGGAGGGUGCUAGCGUUGUUCGGAAUUAUUGGGCGUAAAGGGCGCGUAGGCGGCCUUGCAAGUCAAAGGUGAAAUCCCUCGGCUCAACUGAGGAACUGCCUUUGAAACUGCAAGGCUUGAGGCCGGGAGGGGGUAGCGGAAUUCCCAGUGUAGCGGUGAAAUGCGUAGAUAUUGGGAGGAACACCAGUGGCGAAGGCGGCUACCUGGACCGGUUCUGACGCUGAUGCGCGAAAGCGUGGGUAGCAAACAGG
rnacentral:rRNA from 1 species